CUGGCUUAUACUAUCCACACACAUACUAAAGAUGCAACAACUCAGAGAAGGUUAGCGUGGUCCCUGCACACAAUGACACAAACUCAUGAAAUGUCCCAUAAUUUU
rnacentral:snRNA from 1 species